rnacentral:rRNA from 1 species
GACGAACGCUGGCGGCGUGCUUAACACAUGCAAGUCGUACGGUAAGGCCCUUUCGGGGGUACACGAGUGGCGAACGGGUGAGUAACACGUGAGUAACCUGCCCACAACUUUGGGAUAACGCUAGGAAACUGGUGCUAAUACUGGAUAUGUGCUCCUGCUGCAUGGUGGGGGUUGGAAAGCUCCGGCGGUUGUGGAUGGACUCGCGGCCUAUCAGCUUGUUGGUGGGGUAGUGGCCUACCAAGGCGGCGACGGGUAGCCGGCCUGAGAGGGUGACCGGCCACAUUGGGACUGAGAUACGGCCCAGACGCCUACGGGAGGCAGCAGUGGGGAAUAUUGCACAAGGGGCGCAAGCCGGAUGCAGCAACGCCGCGGGCGGGAUGACGGCCUUCGGGUUGUAAACCGCUUUCAGCAGGGACGAAGCUUUUUGUGACGGUACCUGCAGAAGAAGCACCGGCUAACUACGUG